UACGGAGGGUGCGAGCGUUAAUCGGAAUUACUGGGCGUAAAGCGCACGCAGGCGGUUUGUUAAGCAAGAUGUGAAAGCCCCGGGCUCAACCUGGGAACUGCAUUUUGAACUGGCAGACUAGAGUCUUGGAGAGGGGGGUGGAAUUCCAGGUGUAGCGGUGAAAUGCGUAGAGAUCUGGAGGAACUCAAGGUGGG
rnacentral:rRNA from 1 species